UACGUAGGUGACAAGCGUUGUCCGGAUUUACUGGGCGUAAAGAGCGCGCAGGCGGUCGAUCAAGUCGAGUGUGAAAGCCCCCGGCUCAACUGGGGAGGGUCAUUCGAUACUGAUCGACUCGAAGGCAGGAGAGGGUAGUGGAAUUCCCGGUGUAGUGGUGAAAUGCGUAGAUAUCGGGAGGAACACCAGUGGCGAAGGCGACUACCUGACCUGUUCUUGACGCUGAGGCGCGAAAGCUAGGGGAGCAAACGGGG
rnacentral:rRNA from 1 species